UACAGAGGUGGCAAGCGUUGUUCGGAAUUACUGGGCGUAAAGGGCGCGUAGGCGGCCUUCUAAGUCAGACGUGAAAUCCCCCGGCUUAACCUGGGAACUGCGUCUGAUACUGGAGGGCUUGAGUGCGGGAGAGGGAUGUGGAAUUCCCAGUGUAGAGGUGAAAUUCGUAGAUAUUGGGAAGAACACCGGUGGCGAAGGCGGCGACCUGGGUAGAUACUGACGCUGAGGAGCGAAAGCGUGGGGAGCGAACAGG
rnacentral:rRNA from 1 species